ensembl:lncRNA
CAAAGCCUCAAUCCCAAUUUCACCCAACAACCAGCAAAACCUGCCUCCUUUCCGAAAUGCAGCAUGUGGACACGGGUCUACCUCAUGGCCAGCCAUUCCAGUGUCUUUGAACUUUUUCUGCCUUGACCUUUCCUUUUUAUCUUGCUGAAAAGUGAAGCAAAAUUUGAAUAUUGAGCAUCUAGUUCCACUCCUUUCCUAAUGCUUGCAUCUUUUGUACAGCUCUGCCCAAUAUUCAUCUGACCUCAUGCAACCUUUGUUAGAACACCUGCGGGAACAGGAAGCUCACUACCAACAGAUGAGGAAACUGAGAUCACACAGGCAGAAAAGAGCUGAACUACAGCCUGAUCCUUGGAUCUAUUCCAUGCCCUUCAACUACAUUGCUCUCAGAGAGGGACAGGCCCGCCUGCUGCUCUCCAGAUUGUGAACUGACCAGAGUGGACAGCUAAUUAGAAGCAGUGAUGGAGAUUUCUCAAACUUUGAGGAGAACUGACUACAGGAGAACUGACAGAUGACAGUGAGAAGAAAGAGAAAAGGCACACUAAGUAGAAAAGCAAAAGCACAAAUGGUCACAUUCUACAUGGUAAAAUUGGUUCUGAAGGAAUCAUGACAUCACAGGUCAAUAUAAUAAUUGAUGUUGAUAACUGAGUCAUCACGGGAAGUUAAAUUACAGACGUGUCACUGGGAGCUGAUCACUCAGCUCAUUUACAAAAUGUUUAUUAGCAACCCAGUGUGCACCUGACUCUGUCUAGAUCCUGG